rnacentral:tRNA from 1 species
GUAUGUAUAAUUUAAUUAAAAUUUUAGAUUGUGAUUCUAAAUAUGAGAGUUAAAACCUCUCUACGGACC